CUGUGAAUCAUGAUGAUUGAGCUUCAUAUGAAGAACAGAAGAUCAUUAUGAGAAACUCCACAACAUCAUCCAUGAUAAUAGAGGUCAAAGGUCACCUCAGAGGUCACAGAUCAUCAGAUAUAUUUCUAUAAACAGUGUUAUAUCAGAAAGCAUUUUGUCCAAACUGAAUGUUUGAGUGUUGAGAAGAUCUGAGUUUCUUCUAAUAUCAGUGUGUUGAAGUGUUGUUUCUCUCUCUCUGCUGGAGUUUGUGUUCACUCGAGUGGAAUAGAGGUUUUUGUACGACCGUUUCAUUAGAUUGUAUCACUGUGGUGCACUUUCGGUGGAGGAACUAAACUGGUGCUCGCUGGUCCCACAGUGAAGCCCUCAGUGUCUCUGCUGCCGCCCUCUUCUCUGCAGAUCUCUGGAGACUCAGCCGCACUGCUCUGCCUGCUCAGCUCUUACUCUCCACAGGGGGCGCUGGUGAGCUGGACACUGGACGGGUCAGAGGUCACCGAGGGGGUCGUGACCAGCGCAGAGAGCCAGCGGGACGGCCGCUACAGCCGCAGUAGCGUCCUGACCCUCAGCAAAGCACGCUGGGAAAAGGGAGAGGUGUACGUCUGCAGAGUAACACAUGAUGGAGCUCCUCAUGAGGUCUCGUUCCACAAGAGCUCUGAGUGCUGAUGUUUCUCUCCUGAAGAUGAGCCGUAUCUGAGUGUCCUGUGUCAGGCAGGAUUCACAUGAGUCUAGUGCUGCAGCUGUAGUGAUUUACAACUCAAUACUGAAAGAGAGCUGGCGUGUCAAAGCACUGUGUGAUCUUUCAAUCUGCUGUAACAUUCAAUAAAGCUUCUCAACAAGUUCA